rnacentral:rRNA from 1 species
CAGUAGCCGCGGUAAUACGAAGGGUGCAAGCGUUAAUCGGAAUUACUGGGCGUAAAGCGCGCGUAGGUGGUUCAUUAAGUUGGAUGUGAAAGCCCUGGGCUCAACCUGGGAACUGCAUCCAAAACUGGUGAGCUAGAGUACGGUAGAGGGUAGUGGAAUUUCCUGUGUAGCGGUGAAAUGCGUAGAUAUAGGAAGGAACACCAGUGGCGAAGGCGACUACCUGGACUGAUACUGACACUGAGGUGCGAAAGCGUGGGGAGCAAACAGGAUUAGAUACCCGAGUAGUCCCUGUCUCUUAUAA